UACAGAGGGGGCGAGCGUUAUUCGGAAUUAUUGGGCGUAAAGGGCGCGUAGGCGGCUUUGCAAGUGACGGGUGAAAGCCCUCGGCUUAACCGAGGAACUGCCUGUCAGACUGUGAGGCUUGAGACCGGGAGAGGUGAGUGGAAUUCCCAGUGUAGCGGUGAAAUACGUAGAUAUCGGAAGGAACAUCAGUGGCGAAAGCGAACUUCCUCGGACCAAUACUGACGCUCAUGUGCGAAAGCGUGGGGAGCCAAACAGG
rnacentral:rRNA from 1 species